rnacentral:rRNA from 1 species
GACGAACGCUGGCGGCGUGCCUAAUACAUGCAAGUAGAACGCACAGUUUAUACCGUAGCUUGCUACACCAUAGACUGUGAGUUGCGAACGGGUGAGUAACGCGUAGGUAACCUGCCUGGUAGCGGGGGAUAACUAUUGGAAACGAUAGCUAAUACCGCAUAAUAUUAAUUAUUGCAUGAUAAUUGAUUAAAAGGUGCAAUUGCACCACUACCAGAUGGACCUGCGUUGUAUUAGCUAGUAGGUGAGGUAACGGCUCACCUAGGCGACGAUACAUAGCCGACCUGAGAGGGUGAUCGGCCACACUGGGACUGAGACACGGCCCAGACUCCUACGGGAGGCAGCAGUAGGGAAUCUUCGGCAGUGGACGAAAGUCUGACCGAGCAACGCCGCGUGAGUGAAGAAGGUUUUCGGAUCGUAAAGCUCUGUUGUAAGAGAAGAACGGGUGUGAGAGUGGAAAGUUCACACUGUGACGGUAUCUUACCAGAAAGGGACGGCUAACUACGUGCCAGCAGCCGCGGUAAUACGUAGGUCCCGAGCGUUGUCCGGAUUUAUUGGGCGUAAAGCGAGCGCAGGCGGUUAGAUAAGUCUGAAGUUAAAGGCUGUGGCUUAACCAUAGUACGCUUUGGAAACUGUUUAACUUGAGUGCAGAAGGGGAGAGUGGAAUUCCAUGUGUAGCGGUGAAAUGCGUAGAUAUAUGGAGGAACACCGGUGGCGAAAGCGGCUCUCUGGUCUGUAACUGACGCUGAGGCUCGAAAGCGUGGGGAGCGAACAGG